rnacentral:misc_RNA from 1 species
CUCGCGGGAGUGAGGCCCUAAGGAAGAGUUAGAGUGGGAAUGAGGAGGAGACCCCAUGGGGCUAAGAACUGGAGUGGAAUGGAAUGAGUUGGUGGUUUUCUCGCCAUCAUGGGAGUCUCUUGACGGGCUUUGCACGUAGUAUACAGGGCGGCGAGGCGGAGAUGACCUUGCGGGAGAUGACUGGGUUAGGCUGCUUACCUCUGAAUCUGUCUUCGAGAGCUGAGUUGACAUUGCUUGCUAUAGUUUUUGACAAAUAAACUGAAGCAAAUUCUUGAAAUGGAGCUGAUGGGUAUUACAGAUUUUUGCAGAGGAGAUGGGAAAGUGAGGAGGAGGAGGAGAGAGUAGUGUGUUUGAUUAUUUUUUCUAUUUUUUAGGAUCUCUAGAUCGUACGUUAUGGAGGAGCACGUUGCUG